UACGGAGGGUGCUAGCGUUGUUCGGAAUCACUGGGCGUAAAGGGCGUGUAGGCGGUCUGUUAAGUCUGAUGUGAAAUCCCCUUGCUCAACGAGGGAACUGCGUCGGAUACUGACGGACUCGAGUACCGGAGAGGAAGGUGGAAUUCCCGGUGUAGCGGUGAAAUGCGUAGAUAUCAGGAGGAACACCUGUGGCGAAAGCGGCUCACUGGACCACAACUGACGCUGAGGCGCGAAAGCUAGGGGAGCAAACAGG
rnacentral:rRNA from 1 species